CCCAGUUGCCUGUCUCUUCUAUCUGGUGUCACUGCUGCACGAAAACGUGGUGUUCUCUCUCCCAGGUUCACUCAUAUCAAGGAGGCGCUAGCCAAGCAAUCCUGUUAGAAAGUCAGCCCUAGUGACUAGGAGACGUGAGGGUGGAAAGGGGAGAUGUGAAGAGCCAAAGCGACGGUCCUCAAUCAAAGCAGAGGCCCCAGGACUCCAUGAUCAAGCAGAGGACUGACCUAAAACCCAAAGGCAUCCCACCACAGGAACAGGAUGAUGCUGUCCUGCAGAUAUGGAGUGAACCUGAUCCAGAACAUUUAACCAAGGAAACAGGCAGUGAAGCAUGAAGUUCAAUUCAUAGAC